CACAAUCUUCUCUCUAUUGUUUCUUAUUUUUUGAUUUUCGAUUCUUCUGCACGAACAACAACCCCGGGCUUCUCUGAAGUUGUAAAAUUCUUGACGAUGAAAGCCCCAAUGUUCGUGCUAAAGCGACGACGUCCAGUGUUGCAGUUCAGCCCUUUCUGUAUAUCCACGGCUGAGUUGUGUCAAAUCGACGCCAACAUCUCUCUCAUUCCUUCUAAAAAUAAACGUUGUCGUUUUUAUCUUGCCUCGCUACACCUUUAGCUUGUUUUCUCGUUAAAGAUAGCGAUAUGAGAAUAAGGCUAGUCCUCGAGGCAAAUAGUGAAUCUUCUUUGGCGGUGUCAACGUGGGGGUUUAUCUUUUUUCAAUAGUUUUGCCUCUAAAAACAUCCGCGAUAGAUCUGUUUUCCUUUUUCACUAUUGCUGUUUUUGCUUUGUUUGAAUAGUUAGAAAAAAAUGAUUUUUUAUUGAAUCUUUUUAGUAUAAUGGUUUCUGGGUUAAUGUUGUUAUAGGGUUUUAUUUUAUUUUAUUUUGUGAGUGAUGUUGGCGAUGAUUAAAUAUUUAUCCGCGCUUCUGAGAGAAAUCAAUGAAGCAAAAACGGAAUGAUGGUUGAAUUUCUUGAUAUGAGCCUUCUUUGAUUGAUCUUUGGUUUCAGAAAAAUAUCUAGUUUAUGAUUUUCUUUGAUUUGUAUGAAUAUGAUUUGCAUGUACAAAUUGGCCGUGAUGAUUAAGUUUCAGCUUUAAUGCCAGUUCUGCUUCAGAAAAUUCUUGAUUGAUAGAGCUGUUAUAUAUUCUGAGCCCAUUAGAAAUCGUUUUUCUUCAAAUGAUUUAUGAUAGUUAGUUGUUGUGUGGAAAUUGGCUUCCAUGAUUGUAAGAUUUUGUGGGUUUGAUUCUGUCAUGUUAUUUUCGUGUGUUAUUUCAUAUUUCGGUGGCUAAUUAGUAGAAGUCAAUGAUGAUUUGUCCACAGUUUGAGAUUAGUUAGUUUCAAGACCCUGUUUUCAGGGAGAACCUCCUUGAGGCUGCUAAAUCAUAAUAUGAGCUUACUGGACCAUUAUGAGGUUUUCGGCAAAAAAAAACUUCUUUAUGUUCUGUUCUCAAUGAAUGUGUUGUGUUUUUGUUAUUCAAUCUUGGUUUAAUUGUAUUUAAUUGUAUUUCAUGAUGUUUAAAAUGCCGUUGAUGAUUCAAUCCAACUUGUUUGAGGUGCUGUGGAGCCAAGCCCUUGCUUAGCAGGGGGAACCUACUUGGGGAAGCAGCAUUUCAUAUGACAUUAAUGGAUUUAACUGAGGCUAUAAUUAUAUGUGAAAUUAAUAAAUUUCUUUUAUGCUUUGUGUUGGUGAAUGAAGUUGGGUUCUAUUUGCUACACUAGUUUAGAGCUAGUUGAAAAUUUGAUUUAUGUAGUAAUAAUGUUGUUGCUUUUAAGAUUUGUGUUCUGUAGCUUGCCAAUGAUGGUUUCAAUCCAACUUGUUUGAGGGCCCCCAGAACCAAGCCCCCAUUUGGGGAGAACCUACUUGGUUAAUCUGCGGUUUCCAAUGACAGCAAAUUGUGAAAACUGAGACUGUUCUGAACUUCCUUCUGAUUUGAAUUUUAAUUUGAGAUAAUAACAUGCCAAUUGAUUUGAUUUUAUACCAAUGUUAGUGUCCCUGGUUCUAAAAAUUUAACCUUGUUAUGCCAAUUAUUCUGUUUAAUGGUAAAUCAAGACCCUUCUUUUUAAUAAAUUAUUGUUCUUAAAUAUAGUAUGCACAAAACUUAUGUGUGGCUUGCCAAGUUUUUGUUUCUCGAGUUUUAACUAUACUCUUAACCACCUUCUAGUGGGUGUGGAGUCUGAAAAACUCGGAUAUCGUGUGUCGUCAUCAGCUUCUUCUCUUGUAAUCCCACGAGAUUGGAGUUAAAUAACGGCACGACAUUCACAACUCAUGUCCUAUAGAAUCUUUGGAUUUGGAGUUCUCGAGAGUGGAGGAUUUUAUUGAAGAUGACUGUUUUUGUCGUCUCUUUCAGCGGCCUUCCAAACAUGUAGUUGAUUUUCGGGAUAACGAAUCCUUUGUUGUUUUGCUCUGUUGUUUACUACUAAUAAAAUAUAGUAGAUAUGAAAAGUUACUUUUUUGAAGAAAAAAAAACGAAAUUGCUGAAAAAUUACUUGAAGGGUCUUUUAUAAGCGGUAGACAUUUCUAGAUUAACAUGAAGUGAAAAAUAAUUAUAGGAAAAAUAAAAAUUAAAUUGUGAUGGGUUAGGGUUUCUCCAGGGUCUAUAUAAAUAUUAGACAUAGCCGAACGAAGGUAAAGACUCCAUAAUUUCAAACGGUAGCGAAAAACUCUAGGCUGAAGAUUGUUGAUGGGGAUCGGUUGCAAUGAGGGCUGCCUGGGCAAUGGGCGGCUCUUGUUGUGCUGGAUCCAGAUCGUUGGGUUUUUAUUUUGGUAGCAAUCAGAGUUGCUUUUCAGAAGCUUUAGAUCUUUUUUCUUUUCUUUUUUUUUUUCUUCUUGUUUAGAGGCCUUCAUAAUCCCAGUUAAGCUCAAGCCUUAGUGCUUACCUGAUUCAUGGGAGGCCAAAAUCGAAGCUGGAAGUUUCGCUGAUUAACGCCUUGUUAUCACUUUGAGGCGUUUACUUAGUAACUUUGCCAUACAUCUAUUUUUCGUCUAGUACCUACAAUCCAUCUCCAAUAUUGGGCUCCUAAUUACCUGCAACUCCUCUACACUUCAUACCUUCUUAGACGCUGAUUAGGCCAGUUGCCCAAAUGAUUGUCGGUCCAUUAAUGCAUACUUUUUUUGGCAUCAGUCUCAUCACCUAGAGCUCUCGCAAACAACAGACGGUUGAUAGCUCGAGCACAAAGGCCAAGUAUUUUGCGCUAGCCAACUCAACCGUAGAGCUCAUCUGGUCACAAAGCCUCCUUCAAGAACUAGGUGUCUACUGUCUUCUUUCGUCACCCACCGACUCUUUGGUGUGAUAAUAUUAGUUCCAAAUAUAACAGAAAAAGAAAAAUGAAUGUAUGGUGAAGUUACAUCCAGCUUUGAUUUUGGCCUCCCAUGUAUCAAGUAAGCAUUUAAUCAUUUACAAAUUACAGGAA